rnacentral:lncRNA from 1 species
CCAAAUUUUCGGGCAAAAGGAGCAUUGCUGUCUACCAUUCUCUGGUAAUCAUUGUCUGUGAGGAAAUGAGGGUGCUGCUUUGGAGGGUUGUCCCAGGAUAUGAAAUGGAGGUCAUGAUUCACUGUGGUAUUUCGAAACUCUUUUGCAUUACAGAUCACUGUGUGAAAAUAUCCCUCUGGUGAAGAAAGAAAGUUGGCAUAGUACAUUAAGACUAUCCGAGGUAGGUUAUCCCAACCCCAAAUGCAGUACUCAAUGAAAGGGCGAGACAGCAUCAUCCAAGCAGAACCUGAUUGCAAAAACCAUGUUAAAAGCCAGGAAGGUUAUCAAUAUUGGCAUAUUAAAAGUAUAUAUAGAAAAUCGAAUAAUCAUCAGGUUAUGAAUAACGACAAAACUUGCUCCUGUACCCCAGAUGGGAGCUACCAUUUAGGGUAUCAAAAACGUCAGAAAUGCCUGUACAAUUUCAAACUUCCACUUGCUGGAGAGUACCAAAAACAAUCUAGCUCUUUAUGACUAGCUAUUUCCUAAAUUAUCUGUCAAAGAAAUUAAUUGCACAUUAGGUCAAAUUAUUGGAGAUUACCCAAAACCGAGAAAAUAAAACACCCAUAAUAUGUUAGAUUCCUCAAAAAAAGCAGUUCUUAAAGAUGCUAAUGGUAACUGCGGUAAUGUUCUAAAAUUGUAUGCUCAAAUUAAUGCUCCACUGGAAAUAAAACGUUACUAAUGCAUGAACAGCUAGGAAACUACACACAUUCUGGCAGUGAUAAUGUCAUGAAAAAAAAAGAAAAGAAAAGAUGUACAAGGAACAUAUUAAAUUUGACUGAUCUUCCCAACUAAGCAUUCAGGUAAAGAAAUUUAUAUUACUCAAAACUCAGAUUGACAUCUAAAUCUAUCUGAGCAACUGACUUUAACUAUAUCAUCGACAAACAAAUAUUCCUGCUUCAUGGAUAUGCAUUCUGUUUGACCAUUACUCAACACUGGGUUUGAUAGAGAAGCUUGUAGGUAGCGCAACAUUGUCACUUCUACCAAGAUUUCCAUGCCUUGCCAACUAUUUGGACAACCAACACUUGCACAUUCGGUCAUCUCCUUGUGUGAUAAUCACCUUUACCUUUCAAGAUUCAGAAAACAUAUGGCAGUUUCUUUUUUUCAAGGACCUCAUAAGAGAAAUGAAACAGGAUGGAAAGGGUGCAACAACCGGAGCAUCCCCGCCGAAAUCAGAAUGAAUGAUUAACUUAGUCAGAAAAUCAGAGAGUCAUCAAAACGUAGACUUGUUUGAACUCAAGUGAUCUUUGGACCAAGUGAAUCCUUUUUUCAGAAGAAAUCAUUUACAUUUACUUCAAGCAGGAUGUUAUUAAUGUUCGAAUGUUGUUAAUGUUUACAUCCGUUACUUGGUGUGAGCUCAAAAUCACAGGGAAGAACAACAAUAACAUAUGCAAAAAUAUUAUGAAGAUGUUUACCAGUAAAGAGUUUGAAUGCUGUAGGCACGCUCCUUUUCUGUGUGACCCAAAAGACAUCUGAUUUUUUCAGGCUAUAGAGUCCCGGAUCAAUUAUAACAGGCUUCGCCCUUUGAUACCUAGAAGAUCAAAAGCUGCAGUAUUUGAAGGGGAAAAAUAUAGCCUAACAUGCUACACUAUGAAUAGCUUUUAUCUGAAAUAUGUAAAACUAUUAAGCUCUUCUUGUACAGAUCAAGAGAGAAUGUGAAUACUUACUCCUUCCAACCAAUGUCGCUUGUGUGCUCAAUAAAAUUAAGUUCUCUAGGAACAGUAGAUAAAGUGUGAAGGAUAUCUGUUCGCAUAGGUGAUGGCAAAAACACAAAGCAAACUGCGUCAGCAUGCAUUCCAUACUUUCAUUUGUAGUUAAUUCUAAGAAUGAGAAUAAAUAACGGCUUAAAUUCAGUUUAGACAUUUCAGUUGUAACAGCAUCCUAUUAGCAAAAACUGAAUCUUGUUAUGCACUAAAAAUUAACCACCUUAAGCAGCAUGGACUAAUGUUACAGAUAUAGAACAAAGGAGAAUAAAAUUAAAAAUUCGUGACAACGAGGUAAUAGUUUAGAAUGCAUUGAAACACCAAGCAGAACAUCAAGAGACAGUAAAGAAAAUGAAGUUCCAACUGCAGGGUAAACAUUCACACAUCCAUUUGAAGAAAUAGAGCAACUACUAAUUGCAUCCACUGCUUCAACCUUGAAAAUAAAUAAAUAAAUAAGAAACCCCAGGAGACUGAUAUGAUCCGAAAAAGAACCUAUGAUCAUGAGACAGAAAUAGCAUGUCCUAUCAAGUAUCAACUGGUUACUCAAGAAUUAAGCCAGAGCACAUACCGCAGAAACAAGUGCCAACCCACAAUUUAUUGGGGAAAAGAAUUCACAGGUUAGUAAAAGCAAUGCUCGUAUAUAAUAGCAACGAGUAUUUCAUACCAUCUUGGGUGAGCAGAGGAUAAUCUGAAGCACUCAAAUUGAUAAACCAGUCCCAAUCUCCGCCUUCUUUCAACAAAAUAGCAGCAGCAUGAAGGGUAUUAGCAACCAUAGUAGGCCCUCUAUAAGUCACUAAAUUGGAUCUCACAAUGACCCUCACAUUCCCAGCUUCCUCAAAUAAAGAUUCAUUCUUUACAAAAUUCACCAGCUCCAGUCUCUCCUCAACGGAAGCCUCGAGGUCCAAAUGCACCGCAUACUGAUUCAACGGGUGAUAAAGGGCCAUGAGCGUCCUCUUCAAGCUCUCACCAUCACCGCUAGAACCAGAGAUCAAAUAAGCCAGUCUUGGAAUUCUUGGAAAGGGCUGAGUCGGAGCUACAUGCAACUUUGAUUCGACAAAGACUGGAACUUCAUCUUUGAUGUUCUUGGAUCUUUGCUCAAAAGGGUUGGCACUAAAAACAGAAACAAUGGUAAGACAACAUGAGAUUGAAAUUGAGAACAUGAGAGGAAGAGCCCAUUUUUUGCUUUUCAAUGGUUUAUUAGUCUCCAUUAAAGGAAUGGCUGCUUGUGCUACUUUCCCAUUUAGCUGCCUGCAGAUGCUGUUCUGUGUGUCAAAGUAAAGUAAAGGGAAGAAGUGGGAAGGUGAUCGAUGUUGGUUGCGUUAAUUGCACCGCUGGUCACGGAAUUUAUGGAUAUCGGUGAUUUAACUUUCCAACGCGUUUAAGAGUGGAUAUGAUCUGAGAAAUUCCUAGUGCCGACUUCUUUACUGCACUGACGACUCUCUUUUUUUUUUUUUCUCUUUUCUGCACUGACGACUGGUGGAAAAUGAUACUGGUGGCCUCUGAGUUUUGUUGGGACUUGGUGGUGAGACUGCGCGGACUAAUGAAAGAAUUUCCAGUCUUGUGAGGGGAGUAAAAUAUUACUAACAAAUCUUUGUGGUUGCUUUCCACGCGCGGCCAUCCUGCCCAUUAAAUAGGUGUUAUGUUACAGCAGUGUAACUUGAGCAAUUAAAUUUGUCCACAAAACUAUUGAGUGUCUAUUCCUUAAGAAGAAUUUGUCAAAAAAAAAAAAAAAUCAAUUAACUAAACCCCAGUCCCGUAAAUUUUUUCUAAAAAUUUGAGUUUGGUUCUUGUAACACAAAUGACUGUUUUAUUUAAUGUUUAAACCUUUAAGCUGAUAAUCAAAAAAGUGUUUUUUUUCUUCUUUGCUUUUUUCCUUUUGGGAGGGUUUGGUGGUGGGGGGAUUUUUUAUGAAAGUUGAAAAACUAUUGGUGGUAUUGACAAUAUCUCAAUGUUCUUGGUUGUUAGUUGGCGACUUAAAAUGAAAAGCGAGACGUAGAGAUCUUUAACUUGACUUAUCGGCCUUGUAGGUUAAAGUCUGAAACUUAAAUUCUUCCUGUUACCAAACAAAACUGUCAUUUUUAUAAUUUAAUUAAUGUCAUUGAUGGUGAAAUCUCUCUUGUUCAUUAAGUAAUAUUGAUGAUGAUACAUUAACUUAAUACCUUAAACGAGAGAGUGGAUCCAAUGUUAGCAACAUUUUCUUAUAAAGAUUUGUGUAUUUCGUGACUUUAGAGCACCAAAUAAGAAAUAAGUCUAGUUUUUUUUUUUUACAAAAAAAUAAAUUUCUCGUGCAAACAUAUUAUAAAUUGGGAAUUUUUUAAGUAUUAAGAAUUGAUCGAAACCUUCUAAUGCAUAUUGCAUAUCUGUAAUUGGAAUCAACUCCAUGCAAUAUCAUCCAAUUAAAAUAGUGACAAUGGUCAAUUCAAUAUUUUGACAAUUUUCUACUAAAUAUCUAAUUAAAAUAAUGACAAUGGUCUAUUCGAUAUUUUGACAAACUUCUACUAAAUUGCUCAUUGUCUAUAUAUGGUAACUUCCAAUUUAAAGUUUUUUGUUCUAUUUAUUGCUUGAUUAACGAACAUUAAUCAAUUAUCGAUGUACUCAAAAUCACCCAAUUCCCACCAAAUGCAGAUAUUUAUACGAGUGAUGCACGUCACCAUAUUUGAUGAGAGAUAUUAUGAAAAUUUAGUAGAGACGCAUAAUAUGGAAAUUCAUCUCGUCAGAAAGUUACGCACGCUUUUUUUAAAUUUUCAAAUCUAGAAGCAAAUGCUAUAAAACAUAAUUUAGUUCAUGUACAUAGAACACAUGUUAAGAAAUUGAGUCGGCAUUAUUUCUCUAUAAAUAAACGUAAAAUUUUGCUGUGAAAAUACUACCACAAUUCAGGAGGUAAAUGAUAAUUUUAAAACAUCAAUAAUUAGUCCAUCUUGUUUUUUCUGGCGUGUUUAUCACAUGCUCUUAAGGCACCAACUACUAAAAAACAUUUAAUUAUUUAAAUAAUUAAAAGAAAAACUCUUACAAAAUUUUUGCUUUGGACAAAUGACACUUGAGUUUAACCAAGCGAUUCACAAGCGCGUGAUCAGGAGACUCACCACAGACUUGGAUGUUUAUUGCUUGAUUGACUCGUGCCAAUUAAGCCGCGUUCGGAAAAUCUAACUGCUCGGUUGCGAAUUGGACUAAUGGAGGUACAGUUACCUAUGAACAAUUUUUCUGUUUCGCAUUUUGCUGAAAUUUGAAUUGAAAUUAGUUUUCAUUUCUGGUUCAUAUGGUGAAUCAAUGACUUAGCUUUAUACUUUAAUACAAUAAGAGAAAAAUAGCGAUUGACCAAAAGUUUCCACAAAAAGUAGACCCAGGAAAGAUCGUCUCCAAUACAAUUGGAAUUCUUCCAAGUAAACAUUUAUUAAAACCAAGGAAUAUCAUAGUGCCCAAAAGACAAGCCAAGGAAGGAGAGCACUUAUAAAAGGUGUGAAGAAUAUUGGUCCCCAGUUGGGUAAUAAGCAUUUUGUGAGAGACUUUCGUCGAUGAUGUGGAUGGUUGGGAACGUUGAAAAUUCCAGGCCAAUAUGAUGAUCACAUGCCCCGAUGGCAUCAAAUGUUGGUGCAUCCGCGGCGUCGAUGUAUAAAGGUCAAUAAAGUUCUUGUUUUCACCAGUCUUUUUUGUUACCCGAUUUAGAAUUCGAAUCCGCAAUUAGAGGCGUCAAAAUGGAUGAUUUGGGCGAAAUUGAGUUGGUUAAAAUGGAUAAUAUAUAUAUAUAUAUAUAUAUUUUUUUUUUUUUUAGGUGUGUCCCGCAGGGAGUGGACCCCGCAGACUAUUCACCACCCUCAACAACUUGCUGGCAGCAAGGUUCGAACCAGGGACCUGAAGCGGUUAAAAUGGAUAAUAAAUAUAAAUGAGUCAAUCCAUUUAUAUACAUUUAAUUAGAUAAGUAUAAAUCAAAAAAUAAAUUAGAUAACCCAAUUACCCAUUUAUAACCCAUUUAUUUUAACUUUUUGUAAACUCAUUUAAAUUCAUUUUUGCAAGUUAAGCUAUUAAUUCAUACCACUAUUUGCAUUCAUCAUUUGUUUUAAAUAUUUACUUAUAAUGGUCAAUAAAUCUAAUUACCAAUUUUUUUUCCAUCCGUACUCUAUGUCGCAAAAUUACAUACUAUUUAAUAAUUGAACAAUAAGAAGAUAAAAAUUUGAACUAAAUACUAUAAAAGUUAACAUAAAAACUUAAUCCAAACAUUUUGAACUCCUAGCAUUUUUUUUGUGUGUAAAUUUAAAAUUUUAUUUUGAAAAGGUAGGAAAAGAAGCUAAAACUUGUCAUAAAUUAGCAAUGCUGAAAAAUGAGCAAGUUAAAAAACUAAGAAAAAAUAAAAUGAUAAGAUAAAACUAACAAAUAGUAAUAAUAAUGAAACAAAAAUAGUUAACAUUAUGACAAAAUGAAGAAUCUAAAAAAAGGUGAGGAAAGAUAGGAGAAUUGGAAGAAGACAAUUCUAAAUGGGUUAAUUGGAUUUGAUAAAUUACCCAAUAAUACUCAUUUAUUAAAUGGGUAUUAUUGGAUAAUCAAUUUACAUUCAUAUGCAAAAAUUUAAAAUACCCAUAUCCAUUUAGUCAUUGGUAGGUAUGGGUAAAUUUAAUUAAAAGGAUUUAUUUGCCACAAAUACUCACAAUUAAGUCUUAAAAGGAUGAAUGGUGAAAAAGAGAGAUGAAAAGAUUAAAAAAAGAAGUUAAAAAGGAAAAAAGUUCUUGUAACUUUCUCAAGUUUUUUUUCUUUUUCUUUUUCUUUAAAAAGAAAAUCAUGAAAAGUACACUGGACCAAAAUAAAGUUCAAUCAUUUAUCGAAAACAGUGAUUGAAGGAGGAUGAGCAGAAUGAGAGCUGGACAAUGACACACCACAAACUCUACAGAAUCGCGUGGGCCUAUUACGGAAAAACAUCAUUGGAGACUGGGUAAUCAGUUGUUUCAACAGCUUCAAACCACACGUAGCUUAGGUUGGGCUAUGGACAUCUUUAACUUAAAUCAAUCCACCCAGCCCUCUUCAGGCUUGUCCGAACUUAGAGUUGAUUAAUUUUUAGGUUUCCCCCAAAACCAAACAACAAAAGUUUCUAUUUGUUAUUCUCUGAAGUUUUUAUAAAAAAUAUAUAUAUAGUGGCGUGUGAUAUAUGUAAAAUAAAAAAAAUAAUUAAAAAUGUAUUUAUGAAAGUAUAAAAAAAAAAAUUUAAGAAAAAGCUAUUCAAACAAGGCAUGGUCAUGGUGGACCGUCACUCUGAUCACGCAUUGCUGAAGUCCAGCAAAUUUAGAAAUGAGUUCGAGAGGAAAGUAGCGUUUGAGCCUGCUUGUUUUGUGGUUUAAGUUGUGGGACAGAAAAUAGUAAAAUAAGUAGAUCCGUAACAUAAUGGCCAAGUUCAUGGACAUGUCUGCAGUCUCAACUCUCAACUUAUGAACAUGACAAUUAACAUUUUCAGUAUCUUAUUAUCUAAUAAAUAAAUAAACAAUUAUAUUCUUUUUUUUUAAUUCCAUUUCGUAAAUGAAGAAAAAAAACAAAAAGAAAGAAUCUCCGAUUGUUUGGUGCCGUUUUGCAAAAGUUACCUACAAGCUCGUACUCU